UUAUGUAUAAAAAACUAAGCCCCAAGGGGUCGAAACUGAGGAGGAAAACCGGCGUUUUAUUUUAAUAAAAAUCGACCAACCCCAAUCCAAGUCCCGAGGGCGAUAAAUCAACGACAUGGACAAGUCGCUAUCAGAAAUCUUUGGUGAGAAUUGCGGCAGCGUCGCGGCGAGAAGCUUGUUUGUGACGCCAUUCAUAAGGCAAAAAGAUCCCGGCUUUUCAUUUCGAAGUGUAAAAUCUUACUAUUUUAAAAACAGAAACGAAAUGAGUUUUCGGCGUGGACGUGGUGUUGGCAAUGGAAGGUUUCCGGUGGGAGAGAUAUGGACAGCGGACGGGGAAGAGGUGGAGGCAGAGAUAGUGGCCCACCAAGAGGAGCAGACAGGCUUUAAAAUCACACUUCUGACGCAUCAAUGGCCAGUGCCCGAAUUUUUGUGGGAAACCUGCCCACCAAUGACCCUAGACUCACCAAAGAGUUGCUAGAAGAGAAUUUAAGUCAAUACGGACACAUAAUGGGCAUAUCCAUUCUGAAAGGCUUCAGAUUCAUCCAAUACGCUGAUGAAAUCAGUGCAGAGCAUGCCAUUAGAGGAGCUCAGAACAUGGAAAUCCUUGCUCACCGAAUGGGUAAAUUGCAGUCGAGAGUGAAAACAUGUGGAGCCAGUU